GGGAUGAUGGCCAGAGGAGGAGACAAAUCUCCAGAAAACAGCUUGCAUCUGAAACCAAAGGACAUCAAUCAUGACAGGAGAGGCUCCAUGAGGUCAAGUCAAACCAAGAUGCAACAUUGCUAUCCUGAGCCUCUCAAGCAAACAUCAAGUUGGAAACCUUGGACUGAAUUAUUAAAAAAGGAGAUGGACCCAACUUCCUGAAGCAGAAUGCAGAAGAGAGUAGGAGCCAGGUGCUCUGAGUCCUUAAUGCUAUUGCCAUCCUCUGGUUUGGCCCCUUCUGGCCUCUUUGAUAUUCAGAGUAGGUAGAUUCUGUCAGGUACAAUGUUGACGGGCUUGCAUCUCAGUAUAAUGAAUGUGGAAGCCUUGGCCUGUUUGCCUGGUCUCCCCACUGCAGUGUGGUGAAUUACUAUGAG
ensembl:lncRNA